GGCAAGCACAACAGGGAUUGCCUCAGUAACGGCGAGUGAAGCGGCAAAAGCUCAAAUUUGAAAUCUGGCCCUCUCAGGGUCCGAGUUGUAAUUUGUAGAAGAUGCUUCGGGUGUGGUCCCGGUCUAAGUUCCUUGGAACAGGACGUCAUAGAGGGUGAGAAUCCCGUAUGUGACUGGGUACCUACGCUCAUGUGAAGCUCUUUCGACGAGUCGAGUUGUUUGGGAAUGCAGCUCUAAAUGGGUGGUAUAUUUCAUCUAAAGCUAAAUAUUGGCCAGAGACCGAUAGCGCACAAGUAGAGUGAUCGAAAGAUGAAAAGCACUUUGGAAAGAGAGUUAAACAGUACGUGAAAUUGUUGAAAGGGAAGCGCUUGCAAUCAGACUUGCACCUGGUGUUCAGCGGGGUUUCGUGCCCCGUGUACUUCAUCAGGUUCAGGCCAGCAUCGGUUUGGGUGGUUAGAUAAAGGCCUUGAGAAUGUGGCCCUCUUCGGGGGGUGUUAUAGCUCUCGGUGCAAUGUAGCCUACCUGGACCGAGGACCGCGCUUCGGCUAGGAUGCUGGCGUAAUGGUUGUAAGCGACCCGUCUUGAAACACGGACCAAGGAGUUGAAUAUCUAUGCGAGUGUUUGGGUGUUAAACCCCUACGCGUAAUGAAAGUGAACGGAGGUGAGAACCCUUUAGGGUGCAUCAUCGACCGAUCCUGAUGUCUUCGGAUGGAUUUGAGUAAGAGCAUAGCUAUUCUGACCCGAAAGAUGGUGAUCUAUACGUGAAUAGGGUGAAGCCAGAGGAAACUCUGGUGGAGGCUCGCAGCGGUUCUGACGUGCAAAUCGAUCGUCAAAUUUGCGUAUAGGGGCGAAAGACUAAUCGAACCAUCUAGUAGCUGGUUCUGCAUUUUUUCCCCCCC
rnacentral:rRNA from 1 species